rnacentral:rRNA from 1 species
GGGAAACCGGGGCUAAUACCGAAUAAUACAUUCCUUCUCCUGUUGGAAUGUUGAAAGAUGGUUUACGCUAUCGCUAUAGGAUGGGCCCGCGGCGCAUUAGCUAGUUGGUGAGGUAACGGCUCACCAAGGCGACGAUGCGUAGCCGACCUGAGAGGGUGAUCGGCCACACUGGGACUGAGACACGGCCCAGACUCCUACGGGAGGCAGCAGUAGGGAAUCUUCCACAAUGGGCGAAAGCCUGAUGAAACAACGCCGCGUGCGUGAAGAACGCUUUCGGAUCGUAACACUCUGUUGUAAGGAAAGAACAAGUACAGUAGUAACUGGCUGUACCUUGACGGUACCUUAUUAGAAAGCCACGGCUAACUACGUGCCAGCAGCCGCGGUAAUACGUAGGUGGCAAGCGUUGUCCGGAAUUAUUGGGCGUAAAGCGCGCGCAGGUGGUCCUUUAAGUCUGAUGUGAAAGCCCACGGCUCAACCGUGGAGGGUCAUUGGAAACUGGGGGACUUGAGUGCAGAAGAGGAAAGUGGAAUUCCAAGUGUAGCGGUGAAAUGCGUAGAGAUUUGGAGGAAC